rnacentral:rRNA from 1 species
UACGUAGGGUGCGAGCGUUGUCCGGAAUUACUGGGCGUAAAGAGCUCGUAGGUGGUUUGUCGCGUUGUUCGUGAAAACUCACAGCUUAACUGUGGGCGUGCGGGCGAUACGGGCAGACUGGAGUACUGCAGGGGAGACUGGAAUUCCUGGUGUAGCGGUGAAAUGCGCAGAUAUCAGGAAGAACACCCGUGGCGAAGGCGGCACUCUGGGACGGUACUGACGCUGAGACGCGAAAGCGUGGGGAGCAAACAGG